rnacentral:rRNA from 1 species
AGUCUGAUGGAGCAACGCCGCGUGAGUGAUGAAGGUUUUCGGAUCGUAAAGCUCUGUUGUUAGGGAAGAACAAGUGCGAGAGUAACUGCUCGCACCUUGACGGUACCUAACCAGAAAGCCACGGCUAACUACGUGCCAGCAGCCGCGGUAAUACGUAGGUGGCAAGCGUUGUCCGGAAUUAUUGGGCGUAAAGCGCGCGCAGGUGGUUUCUUAAGUCUGAUGUGAAAGCCCACGGCUCAACCGUGGAGGGUCAUUGGAAACUGGGGAACUUGAGUGCAGAAGAGGAAAGUGGAAUUCCAAGUGUAGCGGUGAAAUGCGUAGAGAUUUGGAGGAACACCAGUGGCGAAGGCGACUUUCUGGUCUGUAACUGACACUGAGGCGCGAAAGCGUGGGGAGCAAACAGGAUUAGAUACCCUGGUAGUCCACGCCGUAAACGAUGAGUGCUAAGUGUUAGAGGGUUUCCGCCCUUUAGUGCUGCAGCUAAAGCAUUAAACACUCCGCCUGGGGAGUACGGCCGCAAGACUAAAACUCAAAUGGAUUG